CUCGACUCCAUGAAGCUGGAUUCGCUAGUAAUCGCGCAUCAGCCAUGGCGCGGUGAAUACGUUCCCGGGCCUUGUACACACCGCCCGUCAAGCCAUGGAAGCCGGGAGUGCCUGAAGUGUGCAACCGCAAGGAGCGCCCUAAGGUAAAACUGGUGACUGGGGCUAAGUCGUAACAAGGUACC
rnacentral:rRNA from 1 species